UGGGAACCAAGCCCACUGUUUUCCACUCCUGCAGUCCCAUAGCAUGAACACUCCUGCUUCCUCCCUUACAGGAGGCCCUGACCACCUUAUACUCAUAAUCUCAUCCAUCUUCCUAUGUCUAUCGGUCUAAAACUCGAUAACAAUUACUGAGCAUGUAAUGAUCUAUAGAGUAUGAGGAAGCCAGCGGGGAAGAGGAAUCGCCUUUUGAGAGCCCCAUCCCAGAAGUGGAAGAAGCAUGGUCCAUGGAGAACACUGAAACCAUUUUGCUCGGAGACCUCAAAGCCAAUUACUUUCAGCCCUCUAACCUACAAUCCAAGAACAUUUUGAUCCAGUGGAAAGAACACUAUGCUUGGAGUCAGGAGACCUGGAUGCCGAUCUUGGCUCUGAGGAUUACUGCUGUCAAAUCAGUUAACCUCUUCGAGACUCAACUUCCUCUUCUGUAAAAACACAGAGAAAGCUUACAAUGCCCUCCUCCCAGAGGAGCAAAGAGCUUUGGCAAC